rfam:Ogataea parapolymorpha DL-1 chromosome I, whole genome shotgun sequence.
GCCUCUUUGGCCAAGUGGUAAGGCGUCGCACUCGUAAUGCGAAGAUCACCGGUUCAAAUCCGGUAGGAGGCA